rnacentral:rRNA from 1 species
UGGGGAAUUUUGGACAAUUGGGCGAAAGCCUGAUCCAGCAAUGCCGCGUGUGUGAAGAAGGCCUUCGGGUUGUAAAGCACUUUUGUCCGGAAAGAAAUCCUUGGCUCUAAUACAGUCGGGGGAUGACGGUACCGGAAGAAUAAGCACCGGCUAACUACGUGCCAGCAGCCGCGGUAAUACGUAGGGUGCAAGCGUUAAUCGGAAUUACUGGGCGUAAAGCGUGCGCAGGCGGUUUGCUAAGACCGAUGUGAAAUCCCCGGGCUCAACCUGGGAACUGCAUUGGUGACUGGCAGGCUAGAGUAUGGCAGAGGGGGGUAGAAUUCCACGUGUAGCAGUGAAAUGCGUAGAGAUGUGGAGGAAUACCGAUGGCGAAGGCAGCCCCCUGGGCAAUACUGACGCUCAUGCACGAAAGCGUGGGGAGCAAACAGGAUUAGAUACCCUGGUAGUCCACGCCCUAAACGAUGUCAACUAGUUGUUGGGGAUUCAUUUCCUUAGUAACGUAGCUAACGCGUGAAGUUGACCGCCUGGGGAGUACGGUCGCAAGAUUAAAACUCAAAGGAAUUGACGGGGUCAUAGCUGUUUCCU